rnacentral:sRNA from 1 species
CCGCCUGUCAUUGGGGAGUAGCCGCCCUCGGGUUUCAUGAGGGGGAUGCGUCAACAGACUUGGGCUUCGGCCCAUGGCGUAUCCGGCACAUAUGCUUGGCGAGACCUUUGGCUUCGGCGGUCCUACCUGGGGGUUGGGCGGGCGCCGAGCCAACGGUCAUGAUCGCCCAGCCCCCUUUGGACU